AGACAGCAGUCGCCGCGGGAAUACGUAGGUCCCGAGCGUUGUCCGGAUUUAUUGGGCGUAAAGCGAGCGCAGGCGGUUAGAUAAGUCUGAAGUUAAAGGCUGUGGCUUAACCAUAGUACGCUUUGGAAACUGUUUAACUUGAGUGCAAGAGGGGAGAGUGGAAUUCCAUGUGUAGCGGUGAAAUGCGUAGAUAUAUGGAGGAACACCGGUGGCGAAAGCGGCUCUCUGGCUUGUAACUGACGCUGAGGCUCGAAAGCGUGGGGAGCAAACAGGAUUAGAUACCCCAGUAGUCCCUGUCUCUUAUACA
rnacentral:rRNA from 1 species